UCCUACGGGAGGCAGCAGUGAGGAAUAUUGGUCAAUGGGCGCGAGCCUGAACCAGCCAAGUAGCGUGCAGGAUGACGGCCCUAUGGGUUGUAAACUGCUUUUAUGCGGGGAUAAAGUGACGUACGUGUACGUUUUUGUAGGUACCGCAUGAAUAAGGACCGGCUAAUUCCGUGCCAGCAGCCGCGGUAAUACGGAAGGUCCGGGCGUUAUCCGGAUUUAUUGGGUUUAAAGGGAGCGCAGGCGGAGGCUUAAGCGUGAUGUGAAAUGCCGCGGCUCAACCGUGGAAGUGCGUCGCGAACUGGGUUUCUUGAGUGAGUGCGACGUGUACGGAAUUCGUGGUGUAGCGGUGAAAUGCUUAGAUAUCACGAAGAACCCCGAUUGCGAAGGCAGUGCACGAGCCCUUUACUGACGCUAAAGCUCGAAGGUGCGGGUAUCGAACAGGAUUAGAUACCCUGGUAGUCC
rnacentral:rRNA from 1 species